rnacentral:rRNA from 1 species
GUUAUAAGACGAGUCGGGAAAGUUUUUUCGCUAAGAGAUCAGUCUAUGUCCUAUCAGCUAGUUGGUGAGGUAAUGGCUCACCAAGGCUAUGACGGGUAUCUGGUUUGAGAGGAUGAUCAGACACACUGGAACUGAGACACGGUCCAGACUCCUACGGGAGGCAGCAGUGAGGAAUAUUGCACAAUGGAGGAAACUCUGAUGCAGCAACGCCGCGUGGAGGAUGACGCAUUUCGGUGUGUAAACUCCUUUUAAGAGGGAAGAUAAUGACGGUACCUCUUGAAUAGGCACCGGCUAACUCCGUGCCAGCAGCCGCGGUAAUACGGAGGGUGCAAGCGUUACUCGGAAUCACUGGGCGUAAAGGGUGCGUAGGCUGGCUUCUAAGUCAGAUGUGAAAUCCAAUGGCUUAACCAUUGAACUGCAUUUGAAACUGGGAGCCUAGAGUUCAGAAGGGGCAGAUGGAAUUAGUGGUGUAGGGGUAAAAUCCGUAGAUAUCACUAGGAAUAUCAAAAGCGA